rnacentral:rRNA from 1 species
GGGGACCGCCGCUGCUAAAGCGGAGGAAGGAAUGGGCAACGGUAGGUCAGGUAUGCCCCCGAAUAUCCCGGGCUACACGCGAGCUACAAUGGUUGGUACAAUGGGUAUCUACCCCGAAAGGGGACGGGAAUCUCCUAAAACCAAUCUUAGUUCGGAUUGAGGGCUGCAACUCGCCCUCAUGAAGCUGGAAUCCGUAGUAAUCGCGUUUCAACAGAACGCGGUGAAUACGUCCCUGCUCCUU